rnacentral:lncRNA from 1 species
AUGCACAAAUCAGAUUUUCUUAGAACCCAAAACCGGGUAGGAACCAGGCCAGGGUUUGGUCGACAAAGUCAAGAACCGGAUAGGGUAGGAAAUCGGUUCCGGGCAUGAAUGAUCAUUGCAUAUGUUGCUGUAAUGUCGCAUGAGGAAGCAAUGAGUUGAGUAGAUCUUCAUUCAGCUUCACUGGAAGUGGCGGCAUCUGCUUCAGUUUCUCUGGGGUGUCGAUUAAACUGCGGUAAAUAACAAACUGGUUGAGUCACCGGUCAAAAACUCGGCGUUUUCAUCGGUUUGGAUUGACCCACAAUCAUUAAUUCGUACAUUUUAAUUUGCUAACAAUAGCUCUUCGGGGUAUUGUUAACAACUACCUUUUACUUACUUUUAAGAAAAUUGAUUUUAAUGAUCUCAACUUCGACAUAUUGGUCGACGACAGUCCCAACUAAGGAAAUGUUUUGCGACAGUCCCAGCUUUUAACUUAUUUUCCCUCAGCGAUCUCAUACUAACUAACUAACUAACUGAUCUCAUACUAACUAACGGUUAACCCGGUUAGUUUUUGACUUUUUGCUUACGUGGGGUGCCACAUAAGCAGUCCAUGUCAUCAAAACAAGCAAUCCACUUCAUCAAAACAUUGCCACCUAGGCAGCCCACAACCUCAAAACUUUGACUUAUCUGCCACAUCAGCAAAACUUUGACUUUUUUGCCACAUAAGCAAUCAACGUCAGCAAAAACUAACUGGGUUAACUUUUUGUUAGUAUGGGACCGCUGAGGGAAAAUAGUUUAAAAGUUAGGACUGUUACUAAACAUUUCCUUAGCUGGGACUGUCGCUAACCAAUAUGUCAAAGAUGGAAUUAUUAAAAUACAAUUUUCCUUGUUGUUAUGAUUAAAAUAUAUUAAUAUUUGGAUUUUGGAUAUAAUCUCCGGUUAUUUUUUCAUUUUUUAAUGGGUACAACUUGCAAGAGAAAAUGAAGAUACACGAGAUAAUUGGUGGUAAGGGAUGUUUUUAGGGCGAGAUGAGUAAACGGGUCAAAAUUGCCACAUGUUGGUUAUAGGGCGAGAUGAUAACUUACUUGCUCAUGAUGUCACGGAUGUUUUUCCUAACUUGACAAAGGAGACUGAUAUUCUCAUGUACCUGUAGCAAGUAUCAUAAGUCGAGAGUCUUCAGCUAGUUCGAAACUGAGCCGAACAAAGUUUUACCGUAGACUUUCAGGCAGGCGAGUUUUUACUAGAAUCGGUGGCUUGGUGGAACGGGUAUGCAUCCAACUAUGACCGUUUUGGAGGAGGAGAUGCAUUUGCUCGAUUGAGGGCAUUCCAGAAUACUUAUCCGGUGAUUUAAUUGACCGUUAAAAAAUAAUUUAAAGGAUAAAAUUGUAGAAAAUGUGUCGUGCUUAAAAUUUCAAGUUUCAACUUUUAGAUUUAAAAAAAAAAAGGAAAAGUUCAAAGUCUUCUAAAAACGGGAAGUCAUAAGAAAGUCAUCAAACGGAUUUCGAUUGAACUUAUUCAAUCGCCAUUGGAAUUAUCUCGUCAAACUUUACGAUAUUUGAUUUUAGGUUUUCACUUUUUUAUUUUUAGCUUAUAGAUUUUACAACUUUUGUUUGUAUCAUUGUACCUUUUUUAUUCAUCAUUGUGUUUUAUUUUCGUCAUUGUAUCUUUCUUUGUGAU